AGAGUUUGAUCAUGGCUCAGGACGAACGCUGGCGGCGUGCUUAACACAUGCAAGUCGAACGGUGAAGAGGAGCUUGCUUCUUGGAUCAGUGGCGAACGGGUGAGUAACACGUGAGCAAUCUGCCCUUGACUCUGGGAUAACUGCGGGAAACUGUAGCUAAUACCGGAUAUUACCUUGGAAGGCAUCUUCUGGGGCGGAAAGAAUUUUGGUCAAGGAUGAGCUCGCGGCCUAUCAGCUAGUUGGUGAGGUAAUGGCUCACCAAGGCGACGACGGGUAGCCGGCCUGAGAGGGUGACCGGCCACACUGGGACUGAGACACGGCCCAGACUCCUACGGGAGGCAGCAGUGGGGAAUAUUGCACAAUGGGCGCAAGCCUGAUGCAGCAACGCCGCGUGAGGGACGACGGCCUUCGGGUUGUAAACCUCUUUUAGUAGGGAAGAAGUGACUGGGUUUUCCUGGAAGUGACGGUACCUGCAGAAAAAGCACCGGCUAACUACGUGCCAGCAGCCGCGGUAAUACGUAGGGUGCAAGCGUUGUCCGGAAUUAUUGGGCGUAAAGAGCUCGUAGGCGGUUUGUUGCGUCUGCUGUGAAAACCCGAGGCUCAACCUCGGGCCUGCAGUGGGUACGGGCAGACUAGAGUGCGGUAGGGGAGAUUGGAAUUCCUGGUGUAGCGGUGGAAUGCGCAGAUAUCAGGAGGAACACCAAUGGCGAAGGCAGAUCUCUGGGCCGUAACUGACGCUGAGGAGCGAAAGCAUGGGGAGCGAACAGGAUUAGAUACCCUGGUAGUCCAUGCCGUAAACGUUGGGAACUAGAUGUGGGGACCAUUUCCACGGUCUCCGUGUCGCAGCUAAACGCAUUAAGUUCCCCGCCU
rnacentral:rRNA from 1 species